CGAAUGCUGACAUAAGUAACGAUAAAGCGGGUGAAAAGCCCGCUCGCCGGAAGACCAAGGGUUCCUGUCCAACGUUAAUCGGGGCAGGGUGAGUCGACCCCUAAGGCGAGGCCGAAAGGCGUAGUCGAUGGGAAACAGGUUAAUAUUCCUGUACUUGGUGUUACUGCGAAGGGGGGACGGAGAAGGCUAUGUUGGCCGGGCGACGGUUGUCCCGGUUUAAGCGUGUAGGCUGGUUUUCCAGGCAAAUCCGGAAAAUCAAGGCUGAGGCGUGAUGACGAGGCACUACGGUGCUGAAGCAACAAAUGCCCUGCUUCCAGGAAAAGCCUCUAAGCAUCAGGUAACAUCAAAUCGUACCCCAAACCGACACAGGUGGUCAGGUAGAGAAUACCAAGGCGCUUGAGAGAACUCGGGUGAAGGAACUAGGCAAAAUGGUGCCGUAACUUCGGGAGAAGGCACGCUGAUAUGUAGGUGAAGCGACUUGCUCGUGGAGCUGAAAUCAGUCGAAGAUACCAGCUGGCUGCAACUGUUUAUUAAAAACACAGCACUGUGCAAACACGAAAGUGGACGUAUACGGUGUGACGCCUGCCCGGUGCCGGAAGGUUAAUUGAUGGGGUUAGCGCAAGCGAAGCUCUUGAUCGAAGCCCCGGUAAACGGCGGCCGUAACUAUAACGGUCCUAAGGUAGCGAAAUUCCUUGUCGGGUAAGUUCCGACCUGCACGAAUGGCGUAAUGAUGGCCAGGCUGUCUCCACCCGAGACUCAGUGAAAUUGAACUCGCUGUGAAGAUGCAGUGUACCCGCGGCAAGACGGAAAGACCCCGUGAACCUUUACUAUAGCUUGACACUGAACAUUGAGCCUUGAUGUGUAGGAUAGGUGGGAGGCUUUGAAGUGUGGACGCCAGUCUGCAUGGAGCCGACCUUGAAAUACCACCCUUUAAUGUUUGAUGUUCUAACGUUGACCCGUAAUCCGGGUUGCGGACAGUGUCUGGUGGGUAGUUUGACUGGGGCGGUCUCCUCCUAAAGAGUAACGGAGGAGCACGAAGGUUGGCUAAUCCUGGUCGGACAUCAGGAGGUUAGUGCAAUGGCAUAAGCCAGCUUGACUGCGAGCGUGACGGCGCGAGCAGGUGCGAAAGCAGGUCAUAGUGAUCCGGUGGUUCUGAAUGGAAGGGCCAUCGCUCAACGGAUAAAAGGUACUCCGGGGAUAACAGGCUGAUACCGCCCAAGAGUUCAUAUCGACGGCGGUGUUUGGCACCUCGAUGUCGGCUCAUCACAUCCUGGGGCUGAAGUAGGUCCCAAGGGUAUGGCUGUUCGCCAUUUAAAGUGGUACGCGAGCUGGGUUUAGAACGUCGUGAGACAGUUCGGUCCCUAUCUGCCGUGGGCGCUGGAGAAUUGAGGGGGGCUGCUCCUAGUACGAGAGGACCGGAGUGGACGCAUCACUGGUGUUCGGGUUGUCAUGCCAAUGGCACUGCCCGGUAGCUAAAUGCGGAAGAGAUAAGUGCUGAAAGCAUCUAAGCACGAAACUUGCCCCGAGAUGAGUUCUCCCUGACUCCUUGAGAGUCCUGAAGGA
rnacentral:rRNA from 1 species